UACGUAGGGGGCUAGCGUUGUCCGGAAUCAUUGGGCGUAAAGCGCGUGUAGGCGGCUAGGUAGGUCCGUUGUGAAAACUCGAGGCUCAACCUCGAGACGCCGAUGGAAACCAUCUGGCUAGAGUCCGGAAGAGGAGAGUGGAAUUCCUGGUGUAGCGGUGAAAUUCGUAGAUAUUGGGAAGAACACCGGUGGCGAAGGCGGCGACCUGGUCCGAUACUGACGCUGAGGCGCGAAAGCGUGGGGAGCAAACAGG
rnacentral:rRNA from 1 species